rnacentral:rRNA from 1 species
GACGAACGCUGGCGGCGUGCUUAACACAUGCAAGUCGAACGGAAAGGCCCUGCUUUUGUGGGGUGCUCGAGUGGCGAACGGGUGAGUAACACGUGAGUAACCUGCCCUUGACUUUGGGAUAACUUCAGGAAACUGGGGCUAAUACCGGAUAGGAGCUCCUGCUGCAUGGUGGGGGUUGGAAAGUUUCGGCGGUUGGGGAUGGACUCGCGGCUUAUCAGCUUGUUGGUGGGGUAGUGGCUUACCAAGGCUUUGACGGGUAGCCGGCCUGAGAGGGUGACCGGCCACAUUGGGACUGAGAUACGGCCCAGACUCCUACGGGAGGCAGCAGGGGGGAAUAUUGCACAAUGGGCGGAAGCCUGAGGCAGCAACGCCGCGUGCGGGAUGACGGCCUUCGGGUUGUAAACCGCUUUCGCCUGUGACGAAGCGUGAGUGACGGUAAUGGGUAAAGAAGCACCGGCUAACUACGU